UGUAGCAAUACAGGUGGCGCACGGCGCACGGGUGCGUAACACGUGGGCAAUCUGCCCUCUGAUGGGGAAUAACCCGCCGAAAGGCGGGCUAAUACCGCAUAAAAUUCCUUGGACUCAUGUUCGAGGACUCAAAGGCGUAAGUCGUCGGAGGAGGAGCCCGCGCACGAUUAGCUAGUUGGUAGGGUAAUGGCCUACCAAGGCUUUGAUCGUUAGCUGGUCUGAGAGGAUGGCCAGCCACACUGGAACUGAGACACGGUCCAGACUCCUACGGGAGGCAGCAGUGGGGAAUCUUGCACAAUGGGCGAAAGCCUGAUGCAGCGACGCCGCGUGGGGGAUGAAGCAUCUCGGUGUGUAAACCCCUUUCGAUCCGGACGAAUACCUCGCAAGAGGGGUGACGGUACGGAUAUAAGAAGCCCCGGCUAACUACGUGCCAGCAGCCGCGGUAAGACGUAGGGGGCCAGCGUUGUUCGGAAUUACUGGGUGUAAAGGGUUCGUAGGCGGUGUGGCAAGUUGGGAGUGAAAUCUCUGGGCUCAACCCAGAGGCUGCUUCCAAAACUGCUGUGCUUGAGUGUGAGAGAGGCUCGUGGAAUUGCAGGUGUAGCGGUGAAAUGCGUAGAUAUCUGCAGGAACACCCGUGGCGAAAGCGGCGAGCUGGAUCACUACUGACGCUGAGGAACGAAAGCUAGGGGAGCAAACAGGAUUAGAUACCCUGGUAGUCCUAGCCCUAAACGAUCAGGACUUGGGGUGCCACCCGUUCGGGUGUCGUCCCGGAGCUAACGCGUUAAGUCCUGCACCUGGGGAGUACGGUCGCAAGACUGAAACUC
rnacentral:rRNA from 1 species